AGAUAGGAGAGAUCCGUUCCGAAACGGGGGCAAUGCGUCUAAUAUUAAUAUUGAGUGCAUGCCCGUCUAUUAUCGAAAGGGAAUCGGGUUAAUAUUCCCGAACCCGGACACGAGAUUNCCNACUUCGGGUCCAGUC
rnacentral:rRNA from 1 species